GCUGCUGUAAUAAAAAGACAGAAAAAAGUGAAAAAUGAGACACGCUGUCAAAGUCGCACACGUGGCAGCUGGCGGGAAAACAAGACUCUGUCCCCUUCGCAAAGCAAAGCGCCGGCUGCGUCGCUAUAUGUACAUUUUCGAAUCCGGCAGAUGUUUUUUCCCUCUACACACACACACGCACGCGCAUAGGCGAAUAAAAAGAAGAGUCGGUCAAUAACCUUGACAUCCGAGGAAUUUCCCGAGUUAUUCAGCCAUUCAAGCAAGCACCGAACCAAGCCAAGAGACUUUUUAGCCCGAGGCUGUUCCGUCGAAUUUUCAAAGCGCACAGCACCCACGAUCGCCGCCAGUGAAAAAGCUUCUUUCCCCUCCCCUUUUCUUUACCUACCCUCCUCACCUAUUCUUUUCCAGAGCCUCUACUAACUUGGCGAAUUUAGACGGGAGCGACAAACCCAUGAUCGUGUGUGUGUGUUCACAAGCAAUCAAUACUUGUGUGACUUUGAUCAACCGACUUUCAGCAAGAGAACAAACGGGAGAUGAAAGUUAAAAGCUGACAGCACGCAUGCUCCGCAGCUGGUCUUCCUACACACACGCAUACAGAGAGACACACCAGUGUGUAGCUGAAGCGGGCCCGGCAUCCAGCCAUCAACACACACACCGGCGCCAUCUUGCCGCCUUCCCGAACUUUCCUCUUUUCCCAAGCGCGCGGUCAUCGAACGCGCCACAAGAAACAAUCAACGCACAUGCGGUAUGUGACAAGUAAAGAGAAAUGCUCACCUGGUUUCAACGUGUGUGUCUGCCAUUGUAGAUUUGAGAUACACUGCUUGCUGAUGAAAUACAAGAGAUUUUAAAAGUGUACUAGCUUU